rnacentral:SRP_RNA from 1 species
GCCCCUACAGGUACAAGUACAUGCCUGUAGUCCUGGCUAUUCAGGAGGCUUAGGCAGGAUAAUUGCUUGAGCCUAGGAGUUCUGGGUUGGCUAUAGUUUGUUACGCAAUCAGGUAUCCACACGAAGUUUGGCAUUGAUACAGUGACCUCCCAGGAGCAGGCCACCACCAGGUUGCCCAAGGAGGGGCAAAUCAGCCCAGGCCAGAAAUGGAGCAGCUCAAAACUCUCAUGCUGAUCAGUAGUGGGAUGGCAACUGUGAAUAGCCACUGCACUCCAGCCUGGGCAACAUUGCAAGAAACCAUCUCU